rnacentral:rRNA from 1 species
UACUGCCUAUCAGAGGGGAAUAACAGUGAGAAAUCAUUGCUAAUACCGCAUAUGCCAUAGUUAUCGCAUGAUAAUAGUGGGAAAGGAGCAAUCCGCUGAUAGAUGAGCUUGCGUCUGAUUAGCUAGUUGGUGGGGUAACGGCCUACCAAGGCGACGAUCAGUAGCCGGACUGAGAGGUUGAACGGCCACAUUGGGACUGAGAUACGGCCCAGACUCCUACGGGAGGCAGCAG